rnacentral:tRNA from 1 species
GGGCCCGUGGUCUAGUGGCUAUGAUCUCUCCUUGACGUGGAGAUGGUCCCCGGUUCGAGUCCGGGCGGGCCCA